GACGAACGCUGGCGGCGUGCUUAACACAUGCAAGUCGAACGGAAAGGCCCUGCUUUUGUGGGGUGCUCGAGUGGCGAACGGGUGAGUAACACGUGAGUAACCUGCCCUUGACUUUGGGAUAACUUCAGGAAACUGGGGCUAAUACCGGAUAGGAGCUCCUGCUGCAUGGUGGGGGUUGGAAAGUUUCGGCGGUUGGGGAUGGACGCGCGGCUUAUCAGCUUGUUGGUGGGGUAGUGGCUUACCAAGGCUUUGACGGGUAGCCGGCCUGAGAGGGUGACCGGCCACAUUGGGACUGAGAUACGGCCCAGACUCCUACGGGAGGCAGCAGUGGGGAAUAUUGCACAAUGGGCGGAAGCCUGAUGCAGCAACGCCGCGUUCGGGAUGACGGCCUUCGGGUUGUAAACCGCUUUCGCCUGUGACGAAGCGUGAGUGACGGUAAUGGGUAAAGAAGCACCGGCUAGCUACGUG
rnacentral:rRNA from 1 species